UACGGGAGUGGCAAGCGUUAUCCGGAAUUAUUGGGCGUAAAGCGUCCGCAGGCGGUUUUACAAGUCUGUCGUUAAAGCGUGGAGCUUAACUCCAUUUCAGCGAUGGAAACUGUAAGACUAGAGUGUGGUAGGGGCAGAGGGAAUUCCCGGUGUAGCGGUGAAAUGCGUAGAUAUCGGGAAGAACACCAGUGGCGAAGGCGCUCUGCUGGGCCAUAACUGACGCUCAUGGACGAAAGCCAGGGGAGCGAAAGGGAUUAGAUACCCCUGUAGUCCUGGCCGUAAACGAUGAACACUAGGUGUCGGGGGAAUCGACCCCCUCGGUGUCGUAGCCAACGCGUUAAGUGUUCCGCCUGGGGAGUACGCACGCAAGUGCGAAACUCAAAGGAAUUGACGGGGGCCCGCACAAGCGGUGGAGUAUGUGGUUUAAUUCGAUGCAACGCGAAGAACCUUACCAGGGUUUGACAUCCUGCGAAUCCCUUGGAAACGAGGGAGUGCCUUCGGGAACGCAGUGACAGGUGGUGCAUGGCUGUCGUCAGCUCGUGUCGUGAGAUGUUGGGUUAAGUCCCGCAACGAGCGCAACCCACGUCUUUAGUUGCCAGCAUUUAGUUGGGCACUCUAGAGAGACUGCCGGUGAUAAACCGGAGGAAGGUGUGGAUGACGUCAAGUCAUCAUGCCCCUUACAUCCUGGGCUACACACGUACUACAAUGCUACGGACAAAGGGCAGCAAACUCGCGAGAGCUAGCCAAUCCCAUAAACCGUGGCUCAGUUCAGAUCGUAGGCUGCAACUCGCCUACGUGAAGGAGGAAUCGCUAGUAAUCGCAGGUCAGCAUACUGCGGUGAAUACGUUCCCGGGCCU
rnacentral:rRNA from 1 species